UAAUGAUGGUGAGGGCUAUUUCUAAGCAUACCCUUAAAUCUUUCCCAAGCUUGGUCAAGAUUUUCUUCUUCUUUCUGCGUGAAACUCAGAAUCGUACUUCUCAAAUG
rfam:Capsicum annuum cultivar Zunla-1 chromosome 1, whole genome shotgun sequence